rnacentral:rRNA from 1 species
UACGAAGGGGGCUAGCGUUGCUCGGAAUCACUGGGCGUAAAGCGCACGUAGGCGGCUUUUUAAGUCAGGGGUGAAAUCCUGGAGCUCAACUCCAGAACUGCCUUUGAUACUGAGAAGCUUGAGUCCGGGAGAGGUGAGUGGAACUGCGAGUGUAGAGGUGAAAUUCGUAGAUAUUCGCAAGAACACCAGUGGCGAAGGCGGCUCACUGGCCCGGUACUGACGCUGAGGCACGAAAGCGUGGGGAGGAAACAGG